rnacentral:rRNA from 1 species
CCAGACUCCUACGGGAGGCAGCAGUGGGGAAUAUUGCACAAUGGGGGAAACCCUGAUGCAGCGACGCCGCGUGAGUGAAGAAGUAUUUCGGUAUGUAAAGCCCUAUCGGCAGGGAAGAAGGAGGACGGUACCUGACUAAGAAGCCCCGGCUAACUACGUGCCAGCAGCCGCGGUAAUACGUAGGGGGCAAGCGUUAUCCGGAUUUACUGGGUGUAAAGGGGGCGCAGACGGCAGCGCAAGCCAGGAGUGAAAGCCCGGGGCCCAACCCCGGGACUGCUCUUGGAACUGCGCGGCUGGAGUGCAGGAGGGGCAGGCGGAAUUCCUGGUGUAGCGGUGAAAUGCGUAGAUAUUAGGAGGAACACCGGUGGCGAAGGCGGCCUGCUGGACUGUGACUGACGUUGAGGCUCGAAAGCGUGGGGAGCAAACAGGAUUAGAUACCCUCGUAUAU